rnacentral:rRNA from 1 species
AUACGUAGGUGGCGAGCGUUAUCCGGAUUUAUUGGGUUUAAAGGGUGCGUAGGCGGCUUAAUAAGUCGGUGGUAAAAGGUAGCAGCUUAACUGUUUUACAUGCCAUCGAUACUGUUGAGCUUGAGUUAUUUGGAGGCAGCUAGAAUUUCCGGUGUAGCGGUGAAAUGCAUAGAUACCGGAAGGAAUACCGAUUGCGAAGGCAGGUUGCUACGAAUAUACUGACGCUGAUGCACGAAAGCGUGGGGAUCAAACAGGAUUAGAUACCCUGGUAGUCCACGCAGUAAACGAUGAUUACUAGAUGUUGGUAGCGAUAUCAGUGUCCAAGGGAAACCGAUAAGUAAUCCACCUGGGGAGUACGCCGGCAACGGUGAA